rnacentral:lncRNA from 1 species
AAGCAAAAAGUAAAUAUCGUAUUUCAAUGCUUGGCUCAUACAGUCAUAUUAUUUACGAUUAUAGAUAAUAUAAAAUUGAUUUAUUUGGUUCGUCCAUUAAUUUCAGGUAAUGUUAUCAGUAAUGUAAAUAUUUUUUUUUCCAACAAUCACAAAAAAAUUAUUUUUUGGUUAAAUUGAGAGAACUUAGCUUAGAGAGAGAUUUGAGAUUAAAGAUAAGUUGAGAUUAGAGAAAGAGAGAGAAUAGGUUAGAAACAGAGUAUAAUUAGAAUUAGGGGAGAGAGAUCGAGUGGAGAUUAGUAGAAGAGAGAGAAAUGGCUUAGAGAGAGAAAGAAAGAAUUUAGAUUUAGAGAGAUAUCAGGUUAGAGAGAGAUGUGAUUAAAGAGUAUAGGGAAACAAUGGGUGAUGG